rnacentral:rRNA from 1 species
UACGGAGGAUGCAGGCGUUAUCCGGAUUUAUUAGGUCUAAAGGGUGCGUAGGCGGAAUAAUAAGUCAGCGGUGAAAGCCCACAGCUUAACUGUGGAAUUGCCAUUGAUACUGUUGUUCUUGAAUGCGGUUGAGGUAGGCGGAAUGUGUGGUGUAGCGGUGAAAUGCUUAGAUAUCACACAGAACACCGAUUGCGAAGGCAGCUUACUAAACCGUGAUUGACGCUGAGGCACGAAAGCGUGGGGAU